rnacentral:rRNA from 1 species
CGGAUUGUAAACUGCUUUCAUUCGGGAAGAAGUCGGUGACGGUACCGACAUAUGAAUCGACGGCUAAAUACAUGCCAGCAGCCGCGGUAAUACGUAUGUCGCAAGCGUUAUCCGGAUUUAUUGGGCGUAAAGCGCGUCUAGGCGGCAAGGAAAGUCUGAUGUGAAAAUGCGGAGCUCAACUCCGUAUGGCGUUGGAAACUGCCUUACUAGAGUACUGGAGAGGUAGGCGGAACUACAAGUGUAGAGGUGAAAUUCGUAGAUAUUUGUAGGAAUGCCGAUGGGGAAGCCAGCCUACUGGACAGAUACUGACGCUAAAGCGCGAAAGCGUGGGUAGCAAACAGGAUUAGAUACCCUGGUAGUCCACGCUGUAAACGAUGAUUACUAGGUGUUGGGGGUCAAACCUCAGCGCCCAAGCUAACGCGAUAAGUAAUCCGCCUGGGGAGUACGUUCGCAAGUAUG